rnacentral:lncRNA from 1 species
GAGAAGGCUACCUUGUUACUACCAGGUGGAGGUAGAAGCCCAGGUUCUUCACUGGCCUCCAUUUACCCCUGAGUGUGUGUGUGUGGUGGGGAGAUGAUUUCUGGUCCUGCUGGGCUGCUGAACAGGAGCAGAAGGUUUGACUUUCCAACUGUUCUCCACUGACACCAUGUUGGGAGCAAUUGCAAUGCAGGGUGUAGAAGUUCGGGAUCCCCUAUUGUCUGUACAUUUGCCACUAAUACCAUGAAGGAAGAAAGGAGUCCUUCAUCAGCUAGUGAGCAUGAAAGUUCCAGCUACUUCCUUUGCCUUCUCUGACACCAACGCAGUGGGGGUUUUGGACCAUUUGUCACAGCCACAGGAGGGUGGAAGUCUGAGCUUCUCAUUUAGCCUUUACUAUCACGGGUGGUGCUGAGGCCUCAGUUUUUGUUUAUUUGGUUUUGUUUAUUUGUUGUUUGCUUUUCCAUGAUGUUUGGCUGGAGUAGAAUAAUGAUUAUCUAAAAGUUUUCCUUCUAGAGGCCACACCUUUCUUUGUCCUUUGACUAGACAGAGUGGGAUCCUGCUGGGGCUUCUUUUGUCUGGGUCUUAGGUUUCUGGAUUGCUGACUAUUUCAGCUCCGUGUCUGAGAAAUCCCAGGGAACUCAUUAUUGUGUCAGUCCCAUGUCCUGAGAUCCCUAGCUAGCCUGUCCUUUUGUCCCCACCUUCCAGAGUCUUGUUUUACUUAACAUAUAAUGUCCAUGGUUUGUCGUUGCAUUUAGCAGGAUGAAUAGGAAAUGUACACCUAUUUCAUGUUUCUGGGAGUGGACUUUUCAAUGAUAUUUUAUCACCAGGAUUUUAAUUAGGGUCUGCAUCCUGAAGCAGGAAGCACUGGUGUCAGUUCCUGGAGGCCGUAAAGAAGACCACUCUAAUGAGUUUCUAAACCCAGGAGACUGCUACUCCCUUCUGGCAACACCAUGCCCUUUGGGACACACUAGGACAUUUUUCACAUGCAAGUGCAUGAUCUUAUUUUCGUGAAUAUAGUUUGUGAAGUAUAAACCAGUUUUCCCCUACUUUCUUUAAAACUGUUUACUCAUCCUCAUUAAGAACACUAAAUAUAAGGUCUCUAAUAGUCCAAGAAGGAUUGCAGCACCUAUAAGACUAGAAGAUUUGAGAAUACAUAUGGAUCUUGAUAUGUUCACCCGUAACCACAGAAAAGUAUUUUAAAAAAAAUACAACUCUUCCUGGUUGGGGGGAAGCAAAAGGAACUUGAAGAGAAGCUUGAGCAAUGCUGGCAAAUGUUUAAAAAUCAGCAUUUGGGGGAGGGGGGUCGGGGGUGGGUGGAAAGCUGCAAUUUGUAAUGUUUUCAAUUCUGUAGUAUAAAUACUCUUAUCAUGGCUGAUUUCAAGCCACCAAUGUGCCAGCACUCAUUGUGAAGUUGGGAAGAGAUGCUAACAAUUGGCUUUCACAAGUCAGGCUGUGCCAGCUCCCCUGCACCACCACAAGUGACAGCAACUGAUAAAAUUCUUUGAGAAAGAGGCUUCCUGCCCACCGCAUUCCACUGUUCAGCUUCUAGAGGAAUUGUCAGUAGAACUUCUACUAAAUUUGGAUACCUGGGGGUAAGAUAGACCAAGCCUGUUCUACUACUGGACAAUGGACAAUCAAACUUGUUUCUAGAACUUCUGGGAAUUCUAUCCUAUGACGAUCAUGGCAUGGAAAGUAAAAAUGACUGUAUGUGUCAGUGUCAGAGAGGCCUAAGGAACUUUCACCAAGUCUCCUACAGAACAGAGAAGAGAGGCUAUGAUUUCCUUAUGUUCCUGAGAAAGGCAAAGCAUUUGUCUGAAAGCGAAAGCCAGGAGAUCAAAGUAACUUCCCUGUCACAAGAGGAAACAUGAGAGCAGAAUUCAGCAUGAGUUUUGUAUAUGGCAAUCAAGUAUAUUCAUGGCUAUCUAAAUGAAUGUCCACGUAGAAGUCAGGCAGCACAAAGAACAAGAUAUAACAGCUGAACGUCCCACUGAAAACCAGCUAAGUGUUGAUCACAACCAUCAAAAAAAUUCUUGUCUUUACUUACAGUGUGACUGUAACUUUCAGAAAGUAACACAUCAGUAAAAUGCAGCUACUUUGACUCGAAGAUAACAGCCAUACUGUUCACAGUGAGGUCCACAGACCAGCAGCUUCAUCAUUGUCAUGUGAGGAUGUGUCAGAAAUGCAGAACCUCAGGCUCCACCUCAGACCUACUAUGGAAUCAGAAUCUUCGCCUUAUUAAGAUCCCCAGGGGACUGGGUGCAGUGGCUCAUACCUGUAAUCCCAGCACUUUGGGAAGCCAAGGCAAGUGGAUCACUUCAGGUCAGGAGUUCGAGAUGAGCCUGGCCAACAUGGUGAAACCCCAUCUCUACUAAAAAUACAAAAAUUACCUGGGCGUGGUGGUGCACACCUGUAAUCUCAGGUACUCAGGAGGCUGAGGCAGGAGAAUUGCUUGAAUCUAAGAAGCAGAGGUUGCAGUGAGCUGAGAUCAUGCCAUCGCACUCCAGACUACAGCCUGGGUGACAGAGUGAGAUCUUGUCUCAAAACAACAGCAACAACAAAAAGAUGACCCCCAGGCAAUUCGGCAAUUCAUAUGCACAUGCAAGUUUGAGAACAACGGGAAAUGACGAGAAAAUAAAGAACUGAGAACAAUCUCUUAUACCACCCCACAAAGAUUGUUUCUAUUUUUCUAACCUUGAUGUCUUCUGUAUUUCAGUUUGUAAGUUCCUUGAUGGCAGGAACUCGAUUCACAUCAUUCAAUGGCAUUUCCAAUACUGCGUGACAUCUAGUAAAUGAGAAAUGACUAUUUGUUGACUACAUGCUGCCCAAAUCACUAUAUCAGGUUCAGAUUUCUCUGAGCCCCAGAAUUAUUACUUUGAUUUGGGCAUUUCCUGAUUUUUUUAUAGACACCACUAAUUCAUCAUGUGCAAAUUGAUUUCUCACUUAUAUCUGCUUCAUCUCUAGUUUUCCUUCUUUGUGAGGAUGGUACCCCAUUUUCACAGUCAUGCAGUGACUACAUUCUUACAUUCCACAUACAUGCAUACAGAAUCCAUCACAUUAUUUAUACCAUCAUGGCUGCCCCCUGUAUUGUUUGAUUAUUUCUUGACUGAUUUAUCUUCAUGGUGUUCUUUCUUGCUACCUUGUCUAUUGUGUUACAUCUCAUGUAUCUAUUCUUUACACUGCCUCCAAGGUGGUUACCCCAAAUCUAAACCUGAUCAAGCCACCUUUUCUUCUCUUUUUUCUUUUUCUUUUUUUUUUUUUUUCCUAAAUAGCUUCUGGUGCCUUUCAGGAUAAAAUUUAAUCUCUGUAGAGGAUUUUCCAAGGUGCAUCAUUAUCUGCUCCUUGUCUACUUCUCUACUCUCCUAUGUUAGCUCUCUCCUGCCCAGGUGCUCUAUCACUAUAAUCCCGCCUCAUUCUAUGACUUGCUAUAAUAAGUGCAGUUUGCUGUCUCUUGCAUCCAGAACUGGCUAAUCUUUUGCAAUCCUUUCAAUACUUGCUGAACUUGAAAACCUUCACUCUCCUUUCAGGACUUGGGGCAAUGUCUUUGUUAUUAAAAAUCCUUAGAUGUUUCUGGUCUAAGGUAGGUGCCUCUUCCAUCUUUUGCCACUGAUCUUGUGUACAUCUCCUUCAUAGAACUUACCACGUUGCAUCACAACUUUGUUUACGUAUUAGAUCCAGAGACUUUAUCUUAUCUCUACAUAACAAGAGACUGGUUCUUUAGAACAAAUCCACAGACUUUUAUCUCUAUAUCUCUAUAACAUAUCUUGGUUUAGAAGUCAUUAUAGAUCUCAAUUACAAAUAUUUUGAAUUGAUGAGUGUAUAAUUUGGAGGCAGGAAUUUUCAAACAGGGGCUUAGAGGAAAGUUGAAGAUUAUAAAUACCUCUGGAGAGCAAGGAUCAUGCCUUGUUUACCAGUGAGCUCUCAGAGCUUAUCACUGUCUUUGAAAUACAAUAUGUACUCCAUAAAUAUUUGUUGAAGAAGCAAAGGGAUAGAUGGAAUAAUGGAUGAAUAGAUGUGGUCAACAAAAUAUUGCUAUAAAACUUUAUUCUCUGCUUGAUAAAGGCAUUCUCACCACCUGCUUUGUUUCUCCAGAUUUUGUCUUCUACUCCCUCCAACUGGGUCUGGUGACAGACAGACCUGUAGGCCCAGGCCUGUGCUAGUUCCGAGCUAGGUAUGACAGGGACAGGAGUUAUAUCAGCACCCUCAGUCCUAUCCUUCUGGGAUUCAGUUUUGUCGAUUACGAAGGCCUGGUGCAUCAGCAAUAAGUUCUGUGACUAUGUGUCAGCAACUUAUUAAUAACAGCCUUGGGUGAGCAAGGCACGUUUGGCAGAGUUAUUUCAUCAUCCCUCCUAUCAGUUUCAAUUUUCUCUGCUAUAUGCCAGUACUUCCC